GGUUAAGCGACUAAGCGUACACGGUGGAUGCCCUGGCAGUCAGAGGCGAUGAAGGACGUGCUAAUCUGCGAUAAGCGUCGGUAAGGUGAUAUGAACCGUUAUAACCGGCGAUUUCCGAAUGGGGAAACCCAGUGUGUUUCGACACACUAUCAUUAACUGAAUCCAUAGGUUAAUGAGGCGAACCGGGGGAACUGAAACAUCUAAGUACCCCGAGGAAAAGAAAUCAACCGAGAUUCCCCCAGUAGCGGCGAGCGAACGGGGAGCAGCCCAGAGCCUGAAUCAGUGUGUGUGUUAGUGGAAGCGUCUGGAAAGGCGCGCGAUACAGGGUGACAGCCCCGUACACAAAAAUGCACAUGCUGUGAGCUCGAUGAGUAGGGCGGGACACGUGGUAUCCUGUCUGAAUAUGGGGGGACCAUCCUCCAAGGCUAAAUACUCCUGACUGACCGAUAGUGAACCAGUACCGUGAGGGAAAGGCGAAAAGAACCCCGGCGAGGGGAGUGAAAAAGAACCUGAAACCGUGUACGUACAAGCAGUGGGAGCACGCUUAGGCGUGUGACUGCGUACCUUUUGUAUAAUGGGUCAGCGACUUAUAUUCUGUAGCAAGGUUAACCGAAUAGGGGAGCCGAAGGGAAACCGAGUCUUAACUGGGCGUUAAGUUGCAGGGUAUAGACCCGAAACCCGGUGAUCUAGCCAUGGGCAGGUUGAAGGUUGGGUAACACUAACUGGAGGACCGAACCGACUAAUGUUGAAAAAUUAGCGGAUGACUUGUGGCUGGGGGUGAAAGGCCAAUCAAACCGGGAGAUAGCUGGUUCUCCCCGAAAGCUAUUUAGGUAGCGCCUCGUGAAUUCAUCUCCGGGGGUAGAGCACUGUUUCGGCAAGGGGGUCAUCCCGACUUACCAACCCGAUGCAAACUGCGAAUACCGGAGAAUGUUAUCACGGGAGACACACGGCGGGUGCUAACGUCCGUCGUGAAGAGGGAAACAACCCAGACCGCCAGCUAAGGUCCCAAAGUCAUGGUUAAGUGGGAAACGAUGUGGGAAGGCCCAGACAGCCAGGAUGUUGGCUUAGAAGCAGCCAUCAUUUAAAGAAAGCGUAAUAGCUCACUGGUCGAGUCGGCCUGCGCGGAAGAUGUAACGGGGCUAAACCAUGCACCGAAGCUGCGGCAGCGACGCUUAUGCGUUGUUGGGUAGGGGAGCGUUCUGUAAGCCUGUGAAGGUGUGCUGUGAGGCAUGCUGGAGGUAUCAGAAGUGCGAAUGCUGACAUAAGUAACGAUAAAGCGGGUGAAAAGCCCGCUCGCCGGAAGACCAAGGGUUCCUGUCCAACGUUAAUCGGGGCAGGGUGAGUCGACCCCUAAGGCGAGGCCGAAAGGCGUAGUCGAUGGGAAACAGGUUAAUAUUCCUGUACUUGGUGUUACUGCGAAGGGGGGACGGAGAAGGCUAUGUUGGCCGGGCGACGGUUGUCCCGGUUUAAGCGUGUAGGCUGGUUUUCCAGGCAAAUCCGGAAAAUCAAGGCUGAGGCGUGAUGACGAGGCACUACGGUGCUGAAGCAACAAAUGCCCUGCUUCCAGGAAAAGCCUCUAAGCAUCAGGUAACAUCAAAUCGUACCCCAAACCGACACAGGUGGUCAGGUAGAGAAUACCAAGGCGCUUGAGAGAACUCGGGUGAAGGAACUAGGCAAAAUGGUGCCGUAACUUCGGGAGAAGGCACGCUGAUAUGUAGGUGAAGUCCCUCGCGGAUGGAGCUGAAAUCAGUCGAAGAUACCAGCUGGCUGCAACUGUUUAUUAAAAACACAGCACUGUGCAAACACGAAAGUGGACGUAUACGGUGUGACGCCUGCCCGGUGCCGGAAGGUUAAUUGAUGGGGUUAGCCGCAAGGCGAAGCUCUUGAUCGAAGCCCCGGUAAACGGCGGCCGUAACUAUAACGGUCCUAAGGUAGCGAAAUUCCUUGUCGGGUAAGUUCCGACCUGCACGAAUGGCGUAAUGAUGGCCAGGCUGUCUCCACCCGAGACUCAGUGAAAUUGAACUCGCUGUGAAGAUGCAGUGUACCCGCGGCAAGACGGAAAGACCCCGUGAACCUUUACUAUAGCUUGACACUGAACAUUGAGCCUUGAUGUGUAGGAUAGGUGGGAGGCUUAGAAGUGUGGACGCCAGUCUGCAUGGAGCCGACCUUGAAAUACCACCCUUUAAUGUUUGAUGUUCUAACGUUGACCCGUAAUCCGGGUUGCGGACAGUGUCUGGUGGGUAGUUUGACUGGGGCGGUCUCCUCCUAAAGAGUAACGGAGGAGCACGAAGGUUGGCUAAUCCUGGUCGGACAUCAGGAGGUUAGUGCAAUGGCAUAAGCCAGCUUGACUGCGAGCGUGACGGCGCGAGCAGGUGCGAAAGCAGGUCAUAGUGAUCCGGUGGUUCUGAAUGGAAGGGCCAUCGCUCAACGGAUAAAAGGUACUCCGGGGAUAACAGGCUGAUACCGCCCAAGAGUUCAUAUCGACGGCGGUGUUUGGCACCUCGAUGUCGGCUCAUCACAUCCUGGGGCUGAAGUAGGUCCCAAGGGUAUGGCUGUUCGCCAUUUAAAGUGGUACGCGAGCUGGGUUUAGAACGUCGUGAGACAGUUCGGUCCCUAUCUGCCGUGGGCGCUGGAGAACUGAGGGGGGCUGCUCCUAGUACGAGAGGACCGGAGUGGACGCAUCACUGGUGUUCGGGUUGUCAUGCCAAUGGCACUGCCCGGUAGCUAAAUGCGGAAGAGAUAAGUGCUGAAAGCAUCUAAGCACGAAACUUGCCCCGAGAUGAGUUCUCCCUGACUCC
rnacentral:rRNA from 1 species